rnacentral:rRNA from 1 species
GACGAACGCUGGCGGCGUGCCUAAUACAUGCAAGUCGAACGCAGGGGGGACGGGUGAGGAACACGUGGGUAAGCUCCCAUCAGAGGGGAUAACACUUGGAAACAGGUGCUAAACCGAUACUGAUGGAUGAACCCGCGGGGCAUUAGCUAGUGGGGGAGGUAACGGCUCCCCAAGGCAACGAUGCAUAGCCGGCCUGUGAGGGUGAUCGGCCACACUGGAACUGAGAAACGGCCCAGACUCCUACGGGAGGCAGCAGUGGGGAAUCUUCGGCAAUGGACGAAAGUCUGACCGAGCAACGCCGCGUGAGUGAAGAAGGUUUUCGGAUCGUAAAGCACUUUUGUUGGGGAGGCGGUAUCUAAACAGAAAGCCACGGCUAACUACGUGCCAGCAGCCGCGGUAAUAC